rnacentral:rRNA from 1 species
AUGCCUCCCUCCGAAGACGAGGCAAGCCUCGACGACGACGAAUUUGUCGUGUCGGAGGAUCCCGUCGAACAAGAGCGUUUCAAACGCAGGCUUAUGGCCACGGCGAGCAGCCUCAAGAAAAAACAGCAACAACUUAGAGCUGAUCAAGAUUUGCUAGCUGACAGAUGGACUGAAGUCCUUGCGGCCGAAGAGUAUGAACUCGAACGCCCCUCCAAGAGCUACCCAAAGUGCAGGUUGCUACCCCGAUUAGAGGAGGAAGCACCUAAACCUACAUCACCAGCGCAUGAUGCGGCCGACCGGCCACCCCGUGGCCGCGACAGAGAGGCCUCUCGGCCCUCCACUCCAGCUGCACCCCGGCGCCGCUCAAAAAAUACCAAGGCACGAGAAAACGCGCCAGACCUGCGAGAUAUAUUGGAGGACAAGGCAAGGCAAACAAGAUCGAUCUACGGAUCGCAUGGGUGCCCCAUGGCACGAGAUGGUAAUCGUCACUCCAGAUACAGUAAAUCCGGCCGGGCCGAACACAGUAGACAAAGCUCGUUUGAGCUGUGUCGUGAUAUAGCCCAAUUUAGAGGCGCCGCACACCCACUAUGCUUCACAGAUGAAGUAAUGGAUCAUCAAAUCCCCGAGGGUUUCAAACCCGUGAACAUUGAAUCAUACGAUGGCACAACAGAUCCUGCGGUAUGGAUCGAGGACUAUCUCCUUCGUAUCCACAUGGCCCGUGGUGAUGACCUACACGCCAUCAAAUACCUCCCACUCAAGCUUAAAGGACCAGCUCGGCAUUGGCUUAACAGCUUGCCAGCAUAA